CAGUCGCCACGGGGAAUACGUAGGUCCCGAGCGUUGUCCGGAUUUAUUGGGCGUAAAGCGAGCGCGGGCGGUUAGAUAAGUCUGAAGUUAAAGGCUGUGGCUUAACCAUAGUACGCUUUGGAAACUGUUUAACUUGAGUGCAAGAGGGGAGAGUGGAAUUCCAUGUGUAGCGGUGAAAUGCGUAGAGAUGUGGAGGAACACCAGUGGCGAAGGCGACUCUCUGGUCUGUAACUGACGCUGAGGAGCGAAAGCGUGGGGAGCGAACAGGAUUAGAUACCCCAGUAGUCCCUGUCUCUUAUAC
rnacentral:rRNA from 1 species